CAAAAUAAAGUAAAAUUUAAUGGAGAAAUGCACACACAUGCCAAAACAAGUCACAAGGUGAACAGAUGAUAUGAAACAUUUCAAAAUAAUAAAAUCAUAAAAAAGGUAUACCAAAUGAAAUAAAACAGCUAGAGAACAGCAUAAUCUAAACAAAUAUUUAAUCUGGUCACAACAAAAGACUCCUAAAUAAUAUAGGGUCUUUAAAGAAUAAACAUUUAACUGUAUGAAAACUCAAGGGUUCAAAUUAGAGAUGGAUUAUUUGUUCUUGCAAUCCAGUUCAGCACAGAAGGAGUUAAACGACAGAAAAACAAAAAAUGUACAGAUUUCCGCGCAUAUAGCGCCACUUUCCAUCUGUGACAGUGGAAAAAUGAUAAGAGGAAACAAUGAGCAUGACUCAUAUUUGACUAAAAUCAUAAGCAUAUGGCAAUGUUUUUUAUGUCACCCAACUGCUCUUAAAUAUAUUGAAAGAAAAUAAUGUGGACUUUGGUAAGAUGAGUGUUCAGGGUGAACUUUUUCUAAAUGAUGCUGAAAACAGAUGAAGUUAUCGGUGCCCUUGUUUACAUAUAUUGUAAAUAGGGGAUCUAACAUGUACUCAAUCAAUUGGUUCUCUGUACGGAAUGCACAAAAACCAGACUCUCAUUGAGAUAGCGGUGAUGGCGGAUGCUUCAAAAGGAUUUUGAUGCAAGCCUUCAGACUCACUAGCGAUCAGAUAGUCAGUGCAAAGCAUUGGUUCUUAACCCUUUAGUGACAACCUGAAACUAGACCUUUGUUUGUGAAAACAUUAUAUUCGCCCACAAUAUGCGGUUUAAUGUACCAUCACUGCUUUUACCAUGCAAUAGAUACUCCUCUGACAUUGGUGGUAUAUGUCUAACAAAUAUUUUUCUUCUUUUGUAUUUUGUUUUCUUCUAACAAAUAAGAAUGAUUUCAUUUUUACAACAGAAGAAUGGAUUCCCAAGUAAACGCCAGGCACAUCAUUUGAGUCCCUUAAAAAAAUUUUUUUAAGAACUACUGGUGUUAAACUAACCAACAACUGAUUUUAGCAUUUGCUUCUAUCAGAUAAAAUAAACAUUGGUAAACUGAUCAUAAAAUAAGCAUUCCUUUUAAAAUUUUUCAUAUUUUCAGGUGAUUCCAUACAGCUUUACUCCUAAUCCCCUAGUUCCCUCAUUUACCAUUACCACUGGCAAGUUGCUGCUAAAGUAGUAACUAAACAAAGGAUUUGGUAACACAUGGGUAAGAGGGAUCAAUUUAACGCCAGACCCACUGAUAGCCAUGUUAUUAAGUCAGAGAUGUAUGCUCUUACCUGGGAACUUACAUACAGAAAUAAUCAUUUGGUACAGCCUCUUUAAUAGCAUAACCCCUGAAAUGUUCCAAGGCUAACGACCAACAGAAUAUUGAAAAGAUGUUCGAACAUAGGGAAAAAAAAUCCUACAUAGAAUACAACUUAUGGGUACAAAUCGCAUGAACAAUACCUUUAUAUAUCUUCUUUACUACAUACACACAAAUCACUUAAAAAUAAUCCUUUGGAUCUAUAGUGUAUUGUAUUAUUAAAAAGGAAAAAAAAAAAUCUUUAAAACAUACAAAGGAUAUAGCACUCACUAAGAAAGAUGCACAUGUAAAUAAAUGAGCAUCAAACGACUUGGCCUACCACGUCCCAAAAUUUUAAUUUAAUUUUGAGUGGCUCAUUAAUACAUUGAGAAAACAAAGUAUUCUUCACAUCUUCUAUGUACCCACCACUGAUGCCUAAAUAAUUUUAUUGGGAAGUUUAUAUUUUUUUUUUUUUGCACCUCUUUUCUAUUACACAUUUAAAACACUUGGUAAUUCCAAUUAAAAUGCCCUGAAUAUCACAUAAUUAAUGCCACAUGUACGGUUUAAGUGUACUGUCACACUCCUUAAAUACCAAGUGUGUGUAAAAAAAAUAAAAAUAAAUAAUUCAAAUAUCCAUGGGUGAGAUCCGGAACUCGCCGUACAAAGAAAGGGGGUGCACCACCUGCGGCAAGCUAAAAAACAAAACCACCAAGAAGGCAGGUGUGAAUAUACAUACAAUACUACAGUGGAUGGUUUAACAUUACUUUCAUCUAGACUGUGACGCCAUUUCAAAAGAUACAUAUGUAUAGCUGUGUGGUCAAUUUUAUAAGAAGUACAUAUACAAAUACUAGCCGAGAACUUUACAAUAUGGCACCAAGAACAUAUUUCACUCGAGCUAUAAUACAAUAAAAGUAUUAAACUGACCAGGGUUUAUACCAAAAUCUUUGGGGCAAUCUGCUGGACAACAGUGCAUUUGGUGAUUACCAAAGCCUGGGUAAACAACUCUCAACAGGUCCAUUUCCAUUAGAUAAACCAGAACAAUUAAAGCCGCAGUUCCCAAAAUGUAGCUGUAGGAAAGCAAAAUCACUGUAUUACAUUCUCCAUGUUAAACAUACAAACUCAGCUAACUCUAAUAAUCUUGUUUGCUGAAAUCUUUUCUAUCUACCUAUGCCUGUUUUGUGGCAUAGGACUACCGGCUAAGAUUCCAACAAACCUUAUAAUAUAUUUAAAAUUGGGGUAUUUUGUUUUAGAUGUAGGCUCCCUGUCCAUUAUUAAAAUGAAAAUUCACCCUUUUCCCCCCCAUCAUUGAGACAAUUUAGCCUGAUUAACCCUCAAAGACUAAUAAUAUCUGAACCGACCCAUUGUUUAGCACCAUGCUUUUAUUUUAUCUGCUAAAGAUUAAAGAUACGUUAAGAAAUAAUUACGAAUUGAAAUGGUUAUAUCACAAACUUUUUUAAAAUAAAUUUUACAUAUCUACAUUAACUUUAAUUGCCAUGAUGGCUUGCUAGCUUGGGGAAGAACUUUCCAAUUCUCUUAGUUGGCAGAAUUAGUUUCUUGUGGUCAGUGGAAAUGUUUUUGCCGAAAGGACUUCAAGGGGGUUAAAUCUGUCGAUGGAAAGCUUUUAGUCCCCGAUUAUACCGUUCCCCAGUUGUUUAUGUCAAGAGAAGUUGCAAAGUUCAUGCAACUAAAGAAUUGACAACAUGGGUGUUAAAAAUACUCACUACUCAUUAUGUUACUCUUCUCUUUUCUUAAAACCCAAGUACUUCUUUUGCUUUUUUUAAUUGGUAUUUACUAUAUGUUAAUCACAAAGUAUGAUUAUUUACAGCAUAAAAAUGCCCAUUGUGGACUGUUAAAAAGGAACCAUGACUUUCGGAGACAGAUGCUUAUUUAUGCAGCCAUGGUAACUUAAAAAAAUAAAAUAAAAUUUAACUACACUGUCUGCUGCACGUCCUCAUUUCGGCGACUGCACUGUACCAUGAUCACUUCGGUGCAUGGGAUUUAGAACAUUGGAUACUACAGGGAAGUGCUGCGAUUCUGAAAUAAUUAUAUUGAACAUAUUUUCUCACGGAAACAAAGCUUUCAAUUAGUUGUACUAAUAGUAUUUUAGGCUCCCAAGCAUGCAGCUGCUGGAUGAAAGACGGUGAUCUGCUGAAGAACUAUUGCAACAAACCUGCCUGAACUAUGCGCUUCUCUCCUAAAUUACCAGUCACAUCUACUAUCAAGUCCUUAAAGGGACAGUGUAGGUGAUGUAUCUGCCUUAGCCAUACCUCCAGUUGGAGCCUGGCUGAAGGUGAGUAGAGCCCUUAUUCACAGGUUAACUGCUCAGAAAUGGUUUAACACUGAACGGAGAAACAUCACCAGAGGACUCCAGGCACUAUAAUGAAUUAGAUUUAACAGUUCUAAUGCCUACAGUGUCUCUUUAAAGCUUUAGUCUUUAGAAAAUACUCAGAGACAAAGACUACUUAAUCUUUUUUUAAUUUUUUUAUUUUACUAACUCAAACUACUUGGGAUUCUCACAACAGUGCAGAAGUGACAACACUUGUCAGGUUAUGAUAGAGAUAAAGAGAUUGAUGAGAAGUAUAUUAUCUCGUAAAUAUAUUUAUUCACCAUAUUUAUUGCUCUACCAUUUCAAGUUUGGGAAUCAUCGCAGGUCAACUUUAAAACCUACAGACCCGCAUUGUCACACUGUUGAAGUUAUUUUUACGGUUAAAAAUACAAUUUAACCUAUAUGCUGUGAUCGCCUAUCCAACAGUAAAUGUACAACUGACACAACAGUAUAUUAUAUUUUGAUAAUUCCCUAUCUCAUCAGCCAGAUGGACUUCAGACCCACAUAGCCACAAUGCACUGAUAGUCAUCUUGGGAUACACUAAAAGCAAUGCAUUCUGGGAACCUGCAUAGUGCAUGGUACACCAAAGUGUACACAAAUCUGUGCAGUUAUAGAAAAAUAAAUUAGCUGAAAAUUUCAGCUGACAACAUUACUUCAUCUGUCUGUUUCCAUUUAGUUCCCUUAAUAGGAUACGGUCACAUCUCAGGAUUUUUAAUAUAAAGUUUACUACUUCACAAAAUUUGUGGGGUGUGAAAAUUAAAUCACUCUUUAUCCUGCAACUGGGUGCUUUCAUCUUUGCUACUAUCAUUGUAAUAUCUGUAUUUGGCAGUCAACAUAGAUAAAGCAUACAGAGAGGUUAAGAAAUGUUUAUUUAUUUCUCAUCCUCAUUUGCAUUGUGCGCCUUGGCAGUGCCUGUACGGAAACAGACUGGUUCAUUCAAAUCUUUAAUUAAUUUACUAGAAAAUAGAGUAUCACAUGAAGAAAAAAAAAAAAAAAAAGCAUAAACACAAGUUAUAGGUGAUUUUCAAUGUUUUAUUAAAUAGUAAUUUCUAGAGAAGCAACAGAUCCCAGUUCCCAAAGGGACAUCACUGUCACCCCCCGCCCCCCACAAAGAAAGAAGCAAAGCAAAGUCACAGACUAAUUGAAGCUAGUCUGUUGAAAAGUGCAGCAAAAGCUUGAC
rnacentral:lncRNA from 1 species